UGAAUUUAGCGACAAAUAUUUCUAAUAUAGCGACGGCAAUUAUGUCGAUAAUAUUGCGACAAAUUUCAUUUAUCCUUCGCGAAGAGCUUAGCAACGAGUAGAUCAGAAGCAAAUGGUAAUCCGUUGUUAAUCCUGCUUAGCAAUGAAAAAAAGCUAAUUCGCGGUGGAAUUCGUCCGAUGUUAAGUGUUGUUUUUUUGUAGUGUCCACCUCUAGCUAGUUAAGCAGGUGGCUAAGUAACUUGAGCAUAAGUCGAGGGCUGACCCGUCAGUUGAGAUUGACUAUUAUGAAGACGAGGACACUGCCUCCUCAUAUGCCCUA
rnacentral:lncRNA from 1 species